UACAGAGGGUGCGAGCGUUGUUCGGAAUUAUUGGGCGUAAAGCGCUGGUAGGUGGCUUGUUAAGUCGCGUGUGAAAGCUCCAGGCUCAACCUGGAAAGUGCGCGCGAAACUGGCAAGCUUGAGUGCCGGAGAGGGUCGUGGAAUUCCCAGUGUAGAGGUGAAAUUCGUAGAUAUUGGGAGGAACACCAGAGGCGAAGGCGACGACCUGGAAGGUGACUGACACUGAGCAGCGAAAGCGUGGGGAGCAAACAGG
rnacentral:rRNA from 1 species